rnacentral:rRNA from 1 species
UACGGAGGGUGCAAGCGUUAUCCGGAUUCACUGGGUUUAAAGGGUGCGUAGGUGGGCAGGUAAGUCAGUGGUGAAAUCUCCGGGCUUAACUCGGAAACUGCCAUUGAUACUAUCUUUCUUGAAUACCGUGGAGGUCAGCGGAAUAUGUCAUGUAGCGGUGAAAUGCUUAGAUAUGACAUAGAACACCAAUUGCGAAGGCAGCUGGCUACACGAAUAUUGACACUGAUGCACGAAAGCGUGGGGAUCAAACAG